GAUGAACGCUGGCGGCGUGCCUAAUACAUGCAAGUCGAGCGAACAGAUAAGGAGCUUGCUCCUUUGAAGUUAGCGGCGGACGGGUGAGUAACACGUGGGUAACCUACCUAUAAGACUGGGAUAACUUCGGGAAACCGGAGCUAAUACCGGAUAACAUUUAGAACCGCAUGGCUCUAAAGUGAAAGAUGGUUUUGCUAUCACUUAUAGAUGGACCCGCGCCGUAUUAGCUAGUUGGUAAGGUAACGGCUUACCAAGGCGACGAUACGUAGCCGACCUGAGAGGGUGAUCGGCCACACUGGAACUGAGACACGGUCCAGACUCCUACGGGAGGCAGCAGUAGGGAAUCUUCCGCAAUGGGCGAAAGCCUGACGGAGCAACGCCGCGUGAGUGAUGAAGGGUUUCGGCUCGUAAAACUCUGUUAUUAGGGAAGAACAAAUGUGUAAGUAACUGUGCACAUCUUGACGGUACCUAAUCAGAAAGCCACGGCUAACUACGUGUCAGCAGCCGCGGUAAUACGUAGGUGGCAAGCGUUAUCCGGAAUUAUUGGGCGUAAAGCGCGCGUAGGCGGUUUCUUAAGUCUGAUGUGAAAGCCCACGGCUCAACCGUGGAGGGUCAUUGGAAACUGGGAAACUUGAGUGCAGAAGAGGAAAGUGGAAUUCCAUGUGUAGCGGUGAAAUGCGCAGAGAUAUGGAGGAACACCAGUGGCGAAGGCGACUUUCUGGUCUGUAACUGACGCUGAUGUGCGAAAGCGUGGGGAUCAAACAGGAUUAGAUACCCUGGUAGUCCACGCCGUAAACGAUGAGUGCUAAGUGUUAGGGGGUUUCCGCCCCUUAGUGCUGCAGCUAACGCAUUAAGCACUCCGCCUGGGGAGUACGACCGCAAGGUUGAAACUCAAAGGAAUUGACGGGGACCCGCACAAGCGGUGGAGCACGUGGUUUAAUUCGAAGCAACGCGAAGAACCUUACCAAAUCUUGACAUCCUUUGAAAACUCUAGAGAUAGAGCCUUCCCCUUCGGGGGACAAAGUGACAGGUGGUGCAUGGUUGUCGUCAGCUCGUGUCGUGAGAUGUUGGGUUAAGUCCCGCAACGAGCGCAACCCUUAAGCUUAGUUGCCAUCAUUAAGUUGGGCACUCUAGGUUGACUGCCGGUGACAAACCGGAGGAAGGUGGGGAUGACGUCAAAUCAUCAUGCCCCUUAUGAUUUGGGCUACACACGUGCUACAAUGGACAAUACAAAGGGCAGCUAAACCGCGAGGUCAUGCAAAUCCCAUAAAGUUGUUCUCAGUUCGGAUUGUAGUCUGCAACUCGACUACAUGAAGCUGGAAUCGCUAGUAAUCGUAGAUCAGCAUGCUACGGUGAAUACGUUCCCGGGUCU
rnacentral:rRNA from 1 species